rnacentral:rRNA from 1 species
GGUAUUGCCCCAGUAGCGGCGAGUGAAGCGGCAAGAGCUCAAAUUUGAAAUCGUGUUUCGGCACGAGUUGUAAGUGUAGGCGGGAGUCUCUGUGGAGCGCGGUGUCCAAGUCCCUUGGAACAGGGUGCCUGAGAGGGUGAGAGCCCCGUAGGUGCUGCGCGAAGCUUUUGAGGCCCUGCUGACAGUCGAGUUGUUUGGGAAUGCAGCUCCAAGCGGGUGGUAAAUUCCAUCUAAGGCUAAAUAUUGGCGAGAGACCGAUAGCGAACAAGUACUGUGAAGGAAAGAUGAAAAGCACUUUGAAAAGAGAGUGAAACAGCACGUGAAAUUGUUGAAAGGGAAGGGUAUUGGGCUCGACAUGGGGGGUGCGCACCGCUGUCUCUUGUAGGCGGCGCUCUGGGCGCCCUCUGGGCCAACUACGGUUCCUGCUGCGGGAGAAGGGGCUCCGGAAAGUGGCUCUUCGGAUGUUAUAGCCGGGGCCAGAUGCCGCGUGUGGGGACCGAGGACUGCGGCUUCUGUCUCGGAUGCUGGCAUAACGGCGCAAUACCGCCCGUCUUGGAAAC